GAUGAACGCUGGCGGCGUGCCUAAUACAUGCAAGUCGAGCGAACGGACGAGAAGCUUGCUUCUCUGAUGUUAGCGGCGGACGGGUGAGUAACACGUGGAUAACCUACCUAUAAGACUGGGAUAACUUCGGGAAACCGGAGCUAAUACCGGAUAAUAUUUUGAACCGCAUGGUUCAAAAGUGAAAGACGGUCUUGCUGUCACUUAUAGAUGGAUCCGCGCUGCAUUAGCUAGUUGGUAAGGUAACGGCUUACCAAGGCAACGAUGCAUAGCCGACCUGAGAGGGUGAUCGGCCACACUGGAACUGAGACACGGUCCAGACUCCUACGGGAGGCAGCAGUAGGGAAUCUUCCGCAAUGGGCGAAAGCCUGACGGAGCAACGCCGCGUGAGUGAUGAAGGUCUUCGGAUCGUAAAACUCUGUUAUUAGGGAAGAACAUAUGUGUAAGUAACUGUGCACAUCUUGACGGUACCUAAUCAGAAAGCCACGGCUAACUACGUGCCAGCAGCCGCGGUAAUACGUANGUGGGCAGCGUUAUCCGGAAUUAUUGGGCGUAAAGCGCGCGUAGGCGGUUUUUUAGUCUGAUGUGAAAGCCCACGGCUCAUCCGUGGAGGGUCAUUGGAAACUGGAAAACUUGAGUGCAGAAGAGGAAAGUGGAAUUCCAUGUGUAGCGGUGAAAUGCGCAGAGAUAUGGAGGAACACCAGUGGCGAAGGCGACUUUCUGGUCUGUAACUGACGCUGAUGUGCGAAAGCGUGGGGAUCAAACAGGAUUAGAUACCCUGGUAGUCCACGCCGUAAACGAUGAGUGCUAAGUGUUAGGGGGUUUCCGCCCCUUAGUGCUGCAGCUAACGCAUUAAGCACUCCGCCUGGGGAGUACGACCGCAAGGUUGAAACUCAAAGGAAUUGACGGGGACCCGCACAAGCGGUGGAGCAUGUGGUUUAAUUCGAAGCAACGCGAAGAACCUUACCAAAUCUUGACAUCCUUUGACAACUCUAGAGAUAGAGCCUUCCCCUUCGGGGGACAAAGUGACAGGUGGUGCAUGGUUGUCGUCAGCUCGUGUCGUGAGAUGUUGGGUUAAGUCCCGCAACGAGCGCAACCCUUAAGCUUAGUUGCCAUCAUUAAGUUGGGCACUCUAAGUUGACUGCCGGUGACAAACCGGAGGAAGGUGGGGAUGACGUCAAAUCAUCAUGCCCCUUAUGAUUUGGGCUACACACGUGCUACAAUGGACAAUACAAAGGGCAGCGAAACCGCGAGGUCAAGCAAAUCCCAUAAAGUUGUUCUCAGUUCGGAUUGUAGUCUGCAACUCGACUACAUGAAGCUGGAAUCGCUAGUAAUCGUAGAUCAGCAUGCUACGGUGAAUACGUUCCCGGGUCU
rnacentral:rRNA from 1 species